rnacentral:lncRNA from 1 species
AACUUUUUUUAGGUGUGGUGUUAUAAAUUUAUGUGCAAUAUAUUCAACUUGGUCAUGAUAUUUUAUUUCUAAAAUUACUAAAAAUUGAUUUUAAAUGGGGUAAAUCUCCAAAAUAGCACCUUUCUAAGUUUAUAUCACAAAAAUAGCACUCAAAAACUAAAAUGACCAAAAUAGCACCUUUCUAAGUUUAUCCUUUGAAAAUUUUAAUUUUUUAUUUUUCAAAAUUUGAAAUCUUAUCCCCAAAACCUCAUUUCUCAACUCUAAACCCUAAACCCUAAACUCUAAACCCUAAACCCUAAACCCUAAACCCUACCCUUUAA